GGAUCCGUAGCGCAGAGGCAGGCGCCGCCGCCUAGGCAAGGCGGAUACGCCGGUUCGAAUCCGGCCGGAUCCA
rnacentral:tRNA from 1 species